UCCUUGGCAGUCCAGUGAUUAGGACUCUGUGCUUUCACUGCUGAGGGCCUGGGUUCAAUCCCUGGUUGGGGAA
rnacentral:tRNA from 1 species